UACAGAGGGUGGCAAGCGUUAAUCGGAAUUACUGGGCGUAAAGCGUGCGUAGACGGUUAUUUAAGUCAGGUGUGAAAGCCCCGGGCUCAACCUGGGAAUUGCAUUUGAGACUGAAUAGCUAGGGUGCGGAAGAGGGAAGCGGAAUUUCCGGUGUAGCGGUGAAAUGCGUAGAUAUCGGAAGGAACAUCAGUGGCGAAAGCGACUUCCUGGACCAGUACCGACGUUCAGGCACGAAAGCGUGGGGAGCAAACAGG
rnacentral:rRNA from 1 species